rnacentral:rRNA from 1 species
GAUGAACGCUGGCGGCGUGCCUAAUACAUGCAAGUCGAGCGAAUGGAUUAAGAGCUUGCUCUUAUGAAGUUAGCGGCGGACGGGUGAGUAACACGUGGGUAACCUGCCCAUAAGACUGGGAUAACUCCGGGAAACCGGGGCUAAUACCGGAUAACAUUUUGAACCGCAUGGUUCGAAAUUGAAAGGCGGCUUCGGCUGUCACUUAUGGAUGGACCCGCGUCGCAUUAGCUAGUUGGUGAGGUAACGGCUCACCAAGGCAACGAUGCGUAGCCGACGUGAGAGGGUGAUCGGCCACACUGGGACUGAGACACGGCCCAGACUACUACGGGAGGCCGCAGUAGGGUAUCUUCCGCAAUGGACGAAAGUCUGACGGAGCAACGCCGCGUGAGUGAUGAAGGCUUUCGGGUCGUAAAACUCUGUUGUUAGGGAAGAACAAGUGCUAGUUGAAUAAGCUGGCACCUUGACGGUACCUAACCAGAAAGCCACGGCUAACUACGUGCCAGCCGCCGCAGUAA